GUAGGUGGCAAGCGUUGUCCGGAAUUAUUGGGCGUAAAGCGCGCGCAGGCGGUUCUUUAAGUCUGAUGUGAAAGCCCACGGCUCAACCGUGGAGGGUCAUUGGAAACUGGAGAACUUGAGUACAGAAGAGGAAAGCGGAAUUCCACGUGUAGCGGUGAAAUGCGUAGAGAUGUGGAGGAACACCAGUGGCGAAGACGGCUUUCUGGUCUGUAACUGACGCUGAGGCGCGAAAGCGUGGGGAGCAAACAGGAUUAGAUACCCUGGUAGUCCACGCCGUAAACGAUGAGUGCUAAGUGUUAGGGGGGUUUCCGCCCCCCUUAGUGCUGCAGCUAACGCAUUAAGCACUCCGCCUGGGAGUACGGCCGCAAGGCUG
rnacentral:rRNA from 1 species